UACGUAGGGGGCAAGCGUUGUCCGGAUUUAUUGGGCGUAAAGAGCGUGUAGGCGGCCAUGUAGGUCCGUUGUGAAAACUCGAGGCUCAACCUCGAGACGCCGAUGGAAACCAUGUGGCUAGAGUCCGGAAGAGGAGAGUGGAAUUCCUGGUGUAGCGGUGGAAUGCGCAGAUAUCAGGAGGAACACCAAUAGCGAAGGCAGCUCGCUGGGACGUUACUGACACUGAGGCGCGAAAGCGUGGGGAGCGAACAGG
rnacentral:rRNA from 1 species